rnacentral:rRNA from 1 species
UACGUAGGGUGCGAGCGUUGUCCGGAAUUAUUGGGCGUAAAGAGCUCGUAGGCGGUCUGUCGCGUCGAAUGUGAAAACCCGGGGCUCAACUCCGGGCUUGCAUUCGAUACGGGCAGGCUAGAGUUCGGUAGGGGGAGUCUGGAAUUCCUGGGUGUAGCGGUGAAAUGCGCAGAUAUCAGGAGGAACACCGGUGGCGAAGGCGGGACUCUGGGCCGAUACUGACGUGAGGAGCGAAAGCGUGGGGAGCGAACAGG